UUUAUAUAAGUAUUACAAAACUUUUUAUAAAGAACUUAAUAUGGUAUUGGUAUAUCUGGUGAUAUAUAAUAAAUAAUGUUUGGAAGUUGGAACAAAUUCCAGUUGCUUCAACCCUACUACCAAGAACAAUAGAAUGAGGUUUCCAAGGGUUUAAUUGCAAAACUUUAGUUAAAUUAAAAUAUUUAUCCCAACCAUAGAUUAUCAUAAAAUAUUAGGUUGUAAUUUUGUGAAUUAUCAGCAACAAAGCUUUGUCCCAUUGGCGAUGAUGUUGUAAUUCUACGAUGAUGUUGAAGCUCGCAAGUACACUUCUUCUUCUCGUAUUGUUCAAAUUCAGGCUGAGCUCUCUGAGAGAUGAAAAGUGA